rnacentral:rRNA from 1 species
CGAAGAACCUUACCAGGCCUUGACACGCAGAGAACUUUCCAGAGAUGGAUUGGUGCCUUCGGGAACUCUGACACAGGUGCUGCAUGGCUGUCGUCAGCUCGUGUCGUGAGGUGUGGGUUAAGUCCCGUAACGAGCGCAACCCUUGUCCUUAGUUACCAGCACGUUAUGGUGGGCACUCUAAGGAGAACUGCCGGUGGACAAACCGGAGGAAGGUGGGGAUGACGUCAAGUCAUCAUGGCCCUUACGGCCUGGGCUACACACGUGCUACAAUGGUCGGUACAAAGGGUUGCCAAGCCGCGAGGUGGAGCUAAUCCCAUAAAACCGAUCGUAGUCCGGAUCGCAGUCUGCAACUCGACUGCGUGAAGUCGGAAUCGCUAGUAAUCGUGAAUCAGAAUGUCACGGUGAAUACGUUCCCGGGCCUU